UAAAGGUCGAAAGGGGAGAUUCAGUAUCCAUUCCUCGUCGCCGCUCCGCGCCGCGGGUACAACUCGGGGUGGCCCCUCACGGGGUUUGCCUUGGGCCCGCGGCGCGGUCUCGCGCGCGGGAGGCGGAGCGCACUUCUCCCCGAGUAGGACGCCGCGACCCGCUGGGUGUCGGUCUAAGGCCCGGGCGCGAGCCCGCGUCGCGGCUCGCCGCGAUGCGGAGCCCCGGUGUCCCGGCCGACUGCCCGGCGGUCUGACGUGAGGAAUUCGCCCGCGCUACCUUUUAGCGCGCCCGUGCCGCUUGCGAGCGUUCGGCCGAACCCGUCGUGCGGACCUGUCCGCCGCGGGCCGGUCGGCGUUGUCGGCUCGCGGACUUCUCGGGCAGCGGCGUGCUCCUGUCUGCGGCGCUCAAAGCUGGGCGGCCCACCCGGCCCGUCUUGAAACACCGACCAAGGAGUCUAACAUGUGCGCGAGUCAUUGGGUCCCUCGAAACCCAAGGGCGCAUUGAACGAGAAGGCCGGCCUCGCGCCGGCUGAGGGAGGAUGGGGCGUCGCUCGCGGCGCCCCCGCAUUCCCGGGGCGUCUCGUCCUACCGGCGCUCGUCGCCGGAAGGUGAGGCGCACCAAGAGCGCACACGUUGGGACCCGAAAGAUGGUGAACUAUGCCUGGCCAGGACGAAGUCAGGGGAAACCCUGAUGGAGGUCCGUAGCGAUUCUGACGUGC
rnacentral:rRNA from 1 species